rnacentral:rRNA from 1 species
UACGAAGGGAGCUAGCGUUGUUCGGAAUUACUGGGCGUAAAGCGCAUGCAGGCGGAUCGUUAAGUCGGGGGUGAAAUCCCGAGGCUCAACCUCGGAACUGCCUUCGAUACUGGCGAUCUUGAGUCCGGGAGAGGUGAGUGGAACUGCGAGUGUAGAGGUGAAAUUCGUAGAUAUUCGCAAGAACACCAGUGGCGAAGGCGGCUCACUGGCCCGGUACUGACGCUGAGGUGCGAAAGCCAGGGGAGCGGAACGGG